rnacentral:misc_RNA from 1 species
GUAGUCGCCCGGGUUGCCGCAAGGCCUCCCGGGUAACCUACCACCCUUUGUUUAUUACGCUUUGCUGCUUUGGCAAGCCUGCCCUCGGGCUGCUGGCUCCGGCCGGCGAGCGCUUGCCAGAGGACCUAAACUCUGUUUGUCUAUACUGUCUGAGUACUAUAUAAUAGUUAAGACUUUCAACAACGGAUCUCUUGGUUC